CAUAUGGUGCGAGAGUAUCUCAUUUAUACUUUCUAGAAAAACUAAUAUGUUACAACAACAAAGCGAACUGGUAGGAAAAGACAAAGGGAAAACGGAAAUUCUGCAGUGAGAAGAAAAAAGGCCCAGUGUAAAGUGAAAGCGCUGCAGAGAAAUAUCCAGUUUUUUACCUUCAUGCAAACCCUACUACCGAUGACUGAUCCCAGUGACCGGGAGGAUAGCGAGCUGCAGGACCAUUGAUUACCACUCUACAUGUGAUAAGAGGUGUUGUGCUCUCAGCGCAACACAAUAUGAUAAUUUACGCCCUGUCUCCUUGGACCAGGCCAGGCCAGUAACUCAUCUUUAUGGCUGCAGCAGAGAGAGGAACACACAGGAGCCACUGGCCAGAUUAACCCAUUGACUGCUUUUCCUCUAUUGAUUAAACACUUUUAAC